UGUGACCUCAUCCUGUAGUUGCAGUGUAGAUGUACCCAAAACCAAAGUACCUCAUUAAAGCUGCUGACUACCAUUUCAGCAAAACUCAGCUUUGGGAAGAUGAAAAGAUCGGAUGGUGUGUUUGCUGAUUGAAAAGCCAGUUUAGUUAUGCUUUCUGUGGGUGUUCCAAAGAACUUUCGAAAUGGCAUACGUUAGCUUGCGGCUCUGUUAGAAAAGGUAGCAUUACCGUGGGCUCUGGGGAUGGCUUAUGGCCAGCUGACACAGGCCUUAUUCUUUCAGGGCAAACUUGUCUCUUUGGAUUUCUGCCAGAGCUGUAGGAAACAGCAGAUUGUCAGUGGAUUAACAGGAAAUCUGAAAUAUUAUGGCCAAAGAAAAUGAGCUCCUCUCUGUUUCAUCAACUAUUGCAUGGCAAAGACAUUCAACAGCUUCUGACAAGCCUGAUUUGGACAGCAUGGAGCUGUUCCUGGUCUCUCUGUUGCUUCCCUCACCACCUCUCUCUGCUGUAAGGAUUUCUGGGAUGCGUCUAUCUAGAGAUCGGAAACAUGGGAAUAAGAUCACUGGAUGAUAUUUUACCUGGAAAAUGCAAAUAUAUGUCCUGGAGGGGGAAAAAGUUGCUUCUCUCUGAGAGAGAUUUGAGAUACCUGAAAUAGCUGAGAUGUAGUGGGGAACAUUUUGGACGUAACUUCGUGACAUGACUAGCAAAAUGGGCCAGUGUGGGGCCUGCCGGUAUGACACGUCGUGCUUGCUUGGAUCUGUAAACUGCACAGAGGAUUUUUAUUGAAGAAACACAUUUCUACAGCGCUUUUCACUUGAUCAUCUCAGAGUGCUUUAAUAGGCUCAGAAGAUGCUGGGGAACAAUCAAGGCAGAAGCCAUGCUGUAGAUCUUGCAGCAUUUAUUUCUAUGGAAGUCAUCUUUUCUUACUCCCUUUUUAGUCAGACAUCAAAAGGAAAACAACAAGAUGAAGGCAAAGACUGAGGCUCAUGCCCAAUGCUUUUCCUUAUCAGCUGCGCUAAAGAAAGGGAGAAAGGAAACAAACAACAUUGCAUGUAAAUAAUAUAUUUUUUUUCCCUUUGACUACUACAAUUUCAUUGGUUCACUGUAAUUAGGCAGAAGGGACUGAAAUGAUUUGUAUGUCAGAUCUAGCAGACAAUAUUGUAAAGGUAUCAUUCUUUUAACAGAUACUUUUGACUCCUGAAAGCCUGGAAUCAAAACCUUUAUUUCAAAUGCACGCAUACUUCAGCAAAUUUCAGAAGCAAUUGCCAGUUUUGUGGUUUGUACCUGAUAUUAUGCUGAGCUAAAGCCAGGAUUUGAAAGUUUGGAAAAUAUGGCUCCAGAUUUUUUAGUCAAAGGCCAUCUGAAAUUAUGAGCAAGAAGAAAGGAAGAGAGUUCAUGUUUUAUGGGCCAGGUGUGCAGGGGUGUGUGAUAUACUGGGUGCUUUUAAGAUAUGCCAGAAAGUCUAAUCCCAAGGCCGGGAAGACAACCCAGCAAGCAGAAGAAUUUGGAUGAUAAAGUAUCAACACAAAUUGCUGACUGCUGUCAUUAGGGUGUGCAUUAAGGGGAGUUUAAAGCCCUCUUAAAGAGAAAUAAAGGCUCUGCAGUGUUGUUAGGAGAUCGUUGUCUGAGGGAUGGAUACAGGAGCAAAGUACCACAGAGAAGGGGCACAGGUUUAUGUGCAGCUUUGAAGGAGGGUGGGGAAUCGUGGCAGCUCCGUGCCGGUGCUGUGGCUGAGCUGGGGUCACCAGGCUCAUCCUGGCUCGGGCCCACACAGCCACACAUAGGGGAGAUGCCGCUGUUCCAAUGCCCAACACAGGGAAUCGAGGGACAGGUUUGCAGGGGUGCAGCAAGCAUCUUCUGCUCUCACAGAGGCAAAUGAGAAGUAUGGGUACCCGCUUGCUCUGAGAAAUCAGGUUUUGCUGUUCUCAGACUGACUGGUUUUGUAAGUACUGACCUUGCCAAUUUUGGUGCCUUGUCCUGGUACAGGAGUGUUUGGAGAUGUCCCUGUGAAAAGGGUAAUUUCUUCUUGGUUUUGUAACAUUUUAUGUUAAAAUCUCUUCCCCUUACCCCAAACUAUAGUCUCUGGUCCCCAUAAGGACUGUGCCUGGCCUUGGCUGGUUCGUCACCUCUCCAUUCACCCCUAGGACACUGACCUGUGAUGAAACUCCACUGAUGCAGAGCUGAUGAAAACUGUGUGUGGGAACCUGAAUGAGGAGGUAUGUAAAAGUCAGUUGCCGAGGGAAAGCAAAUCUUUUCAAAUCCUUUUUUUUUGGCAGGCAAAAUAGGAACUGCCUCUGAGCGGGGCUGGUAGGGGGUGGUUCAUGGUGCUGUGCUGGCUGCACCAAGCGAUGCUCUGGCCCCCUCUGUGACUCUCCUGAGGGCUGGUGGCACCAGCAGCAGGGACUGGACAGCGAGGGAAGUCAGGAAUUUUGUUAGAAGGUACUUAUGCAUGCAAGUAUCGGAUAUGUGAUGCAACAGCUGAGUCUCAUGGUGUGAAGCCUGCAUCACCCAUCAUCUCAAAGGAACAAGCCUAGGGUGGAAGAACUGCUCCCCCACCAUCGCAGCUGAUAGCAGCGCUCUGUUCCCGUGUAACGGGUGGUCUCUCUGCACAUAAUGAGCAACCUUUGGAGGACUGUGGAAGUAGAAAUGUUAGGAUGUAAGUAGGCCUCUUGACUGAACCUUCACCCUGUCUCCCGAAACAGUCCUUACUGUGUAACCUUCGUGAUAAACUAGUUCCCACGCUGAAGAAAGCAGAAUCCAGUCUGGCAGUGAGUCGUCCUGAAGCCUUGGCUGUGUAACAAAUGUGUGCAACUUGCACCCCCUUAUCUGUCUUUUGCAUAGCACCUCUGAGAGAAUACAAACCCUCUACCCGCUCUGCAAGCACAGCGUUCACAUCAGCAGAGCCUGUUCCUCUGCUGCUCAGUCUUCUCGCCUGGAGCUAUCAUAAAUAAAUGGCUGGUCCUCUGACCUGACCCACAGGGGAGGUUUAGA